rnacentral:rRNA from 1 species
UACAGAGGUCUCAAGCGUUGUUCGGAUUCAUUGGGCGUAAAGGGUGUGUAGGCGGCCAACUAAGUCGGAUGUGAAAUCCCCAGGCUCAACUUGGGAACUGCAUCCGAUACUGGAUGGCUUGAAUUCGGGAGAGGGAUGCAGAAUUCCAGGUGUAGCGGUGAAAUGCGUAGAUAUCUGGAGGAAUACCGGUGGCGAAGGCGGCAUCCUGGACCGACAUUGACGCUGAACGGCGAAAGCUAGGGGAGCAAACGGG